GAUCCACGCAUCCCCUAGGCCUCACCUGGCCUGAGGCUGGAAUCACUCACGACUGUGGGCGUUCCACGCACUGGCUGGAGAUCUUCUCACGGUGAAAAGAGUUCGAAAUAAGGAAACUGCUAACCGUCAUAGUACUUACUGUGGUGCCAGGCGCUGUGUGGAGCCCCUUAUAUGUGGAUUACUGUAUUUAAUUCUCACACAACCCACUUGAAGUAGGUGCUUUUUAAAAAAAAAACAAAAAACAUCAUGCCAUCCCUGGUAUCGCAAAUGACGAACUGGGGAGCUUAGAGAAGUUGAGUAAGUAAGGGUUUCUGGGACUUUUGGCUAAGAUCAAGUGAGAAGUUGAGUAACUUGCCCAAGAGCAGACGUUGGGUAAGCUCGGGGGCCUGGGCUUGAUCCGGGCUGGCUGGCUAACCAGUUCCGGUUCCCUGCUGCAGGCUAGAAAGGGGCUCCCAGGGACACGGAGGCUUGGAGAGCUCAUUCCCCUCCCCCUCUGUCCUUCCCUUGCCCAGCUCCCGUACUGCACAUCGUGAAGACAGGCCCUGGUGCUGGGCAGCUGGCAUCUUACCUCGCAGAGCCUGUAGCAUUGUUCACGGGCUCUUGGUUGCUGCAGAGCCGUCACGUUAAAUCCUGUCGAGCUCAGCCUGUGUUGUCACAGGGCACUGUGGAGGGGCUUCAGGAUGGUGCAGGGAGGUUUCUGGGCUGGUUUGUGUAAAUUACAUACAGCCGGUUUCACGUCUCAGGGACUGAAUUUGGCUCCUUUUGUGUUGGAAGAAGAAGGAAAAAAGAUAAAAACAAAGGGAGGAGGCGUUUGGAUGAUACAAACAAAAAGGAACAGCUAGAUGGGGCACUGCCUGCCAGGAGGCCUUCCUGUCCCUGCCCUGCUCUUUCUGACGGGAGAUGUCAGGUCUGAAAAUAGCAUUCGAACAGGAAAACAUGCACCAGCUUUUACCAGGACUCGGUGUUCUCAUGGCGGGAGCUUGCUCUGCUCCUGACCCCUCUUAUUUUAGAGAAAGGGGUCAGGGAGAGGCCCGGACUUCCCUACAACUCAGGCAGAGGAAUGCGGGCUCAACUGCUUUACUGAACUUAAUUAUUAGUGAACAUUCACUCAUUGCUGACAUUGAAGUGAUUGGCUAGGUCAUUCUUUUACUCCAGUAUCCAUUUCAAACUCCAGCUUGUCUGUGCUGAACUUUCUUCAUUGUCAGUAGAUUUUUGCUUCUCUUUUUCAUGAAGAAAAAAAAAUCUUUUUUUGAGAAAAUUCUAAUGGUGUUUUCUUCCUAAAAAACAAUAAAAAAAACCCCAACCAAACAAGAAAAAACCC